rnacentral:rRNA from 1 species
CUGCUAAAANGUCAGGCUAGCUUUGGCUGGUCGCCGGCUUCUUAGAGNGACUAUCNNCUCAAGCCGAUGNNAGUUUGAGGCAAUAACAGGUCUGUGAUGGCCCUUAGAUGUUCUGGGCCGCACGCGCGCUACACUGACAGAGCCAACGAGUUCUUCNCCUUGGCCGGAAGNNCUGGGUAAUCUUGUUAAACUCUGUCGUGCUGGGGAUAGAGCAUUGCAAUUAUUGCUCUUCAACGAGGAAUGCCUAGUAAGCGCGUGUCAUCAGCAUGCGUUGAUUACGUCCCUGCCCUUUGUACACACCGCCCGUCGCUACUACCGAUUGAAUGGCUCAGUGAGGCCUUCGGACUGGCUCAGGGAGGUUGGCAACGACCACCUCGAGCCGGAAAGUUCGUCAAACUCGGUCAUUUAGAGAAAAGUAAAAG